rnacentral:rRNA from 1 species
UACGGAGGGGGCUAGCGUUGUUCGGAAUUACUGGGCGUAAAGCGCACGUAGGCGGGUUUUUAAGUCAGGGGUGAAAUCCUGGAGCUCAACUCCAGAACUGCCUUUGAUACUGAAGAUCUUGAGUCCGGGAGAGGUGAGUGGAACUGCGAGUGUAGAGGUGAAAUUCGUAGAUAUUCGGAAGAACACCAGUGGCGAAGGCGACUCACUGGCCCGUUACUGACGCUGAUGCGCGAAAGCGUGGGGAGCAAACAGG